AUGGCCAAAUUCAACAAGGGUUCUCUCUUGAACUCUCUUGUCGGAUACAAGUGUCCUACAGGAAGGCCUUUGCCGGGGACACUCUGCUUCCUGUUGAUGGUUUUGGCACAUGCAAGGUAGCUGAUGAAGACUUCACACGAGCAGUGACAUCGGACUCUCCAAAAUGAGAAGACAGAGAAGGACCUUUGAAAUUCAUGUGUAAAGUCUGGAGAUAAGUGCAUCUCAGGUCCAGGGAGAGAGAGUCUGACGGUGUACCCUCUGCCUGGAAGUCCAAGCAAGGCUACAAUGCAGGGGAUGGAUAGUUUUCCACAGGAAAAGCUUAUGGCACUUCAGCCACCUCGCUGUAGGAGCAGGCCUUUGCAGCAGAGAGAACAUCCUGGCAGCAACUAUAACAUCUGCCC